GCGGGUGUAGUUCAAUGGUAGAACGUCUCCUUGCCAAGGAGAAGGUUUGAGAGUUCGAGUCUCUUCGCCCGCU
rnacentral:tRNA from 2 species